CUUAAAGGAAUUACUGGGCGUAAACGCGCGUAGUGGUUUGUUAAGUUGGAUGUGAAAGCCCCGGGCUCAAGCAUCCAAAACUGGCAAGCUAGAGUGCGGUAGAGGGUGGUGGAAUUUCCUGUGUAGCGGUGAAAUGCGUAGGAACACCAGUGGCGAGGGCGACCACCUGGACUGAUACUGACACUGAGGUGCGAAAGCGUGGGGAGCAAAUACCCUGGUAGUCCACGCCGUAAACGAUGUCAACUAGCCGUUGGAAUCCUUGAGAUUUUAGUGGCGCAGCAGUUGACCGCCUGGGGAGUACGGCCGCAACGUUAAAACUCAAAUGAAUUGACGGGGGCCCGCCACCAAGCGUGGUUUAAUUUGGAAGCAAACGCGAAGAACCUUACCAGGCCUUGAACAUGCAGAGAAUUUCCAGAGAUGUUCGGGAANUCUGAACACAGGUGCUGCAUGGCUGUCGUCAGCUCGUGUCGUGAGAUGUUGGGUUAAGUCCGCAACCCUUGUCCUUAGUUACCAGCACGUAAUGGUGGGCACUNUAAGGAGACUGCCGGUGACAAACCGGAGAUGACGUCAAGUCAUCAUGGCCCUUACGGCCUGGGCUACACACGUGCUACAAUGGUCGGUACAGAGGGUCGAGGUGGAGCUAAUCUCACAAAACCGAUCGUAGUCCGGAUCGCAGUCUGCAACUCGACUGCGUGAAGUCGUAAUCGCGAAUCAGAAUGUCGCGUGAAG
rnacentral:rRNA from 1 species